AUGAAAGCGGCCUGUCUCUUCCUGCUGGCGUCCCUGCUGUGCUCCAGGCGGGCCCUGAGCCUGCAGUGCUACAACUGCGCUAACGUCCAGGGAACCAGCCAGUGCCAGACCAGCCAGUGCGUUGGGGUCUGCUUUGCUAGCGACUUGGUCUUCACUGUGAAUGAUGGCGGUGAGAAGAAGAUUACCAUGGGAAUCAAGAGCUGUGCUCCCUCCUGCGAGGACGCCUCAAAGACCCUACAGUCGCUCCGGCCGGAGAGUCUGCCCCAGAUCCCCGGGGGUGUGGGGAACCUUCUGACUUCGGAGUGCCCUGCCACCUGCCAACAAGCGCGCCAAUCACCCAAGAUCCAGAGCCCACAAGACCUGGCUGGACAGAGGCCUCUAGGAGAGCCCGGCGUCCAGCCCCUCCAGCCCAGCUCCUGGCAACGGCACCCGGCACCGCAGGCGAGGACAACAGAAAAUAAACACUUUCCAGCAGCGAGCUUCCUGCUCUGUGAAUGUCUUUCAGCCAGACAAUCCCGAAUGGCUACUUCUUGGGGAGGGAAAGGAAAGUCCCUCGCAGGAGCCCCACCCAGCACCUCCACAGGCCAGGCAUCUAUCCAGGUCUCCCCAGGUGGUGGCUGCAGUGCUAGGAGCCCCCUCGACAGAGGCAGGUACGCGGCCCAGGAGGGGUCUCUAGCCUGGUUCCCUUCCUCAUCCUCCUUCACACUUUCUUCCCCUCCAAGCCUCUGCCCUGUGGCCCACACUCUGGGUCUAGAAACUCCCCCAGCCCACAGGAGCCACUCUUCCCUGCAGGACACAGGUGACAAGAGCAUUUCCCCCACAGCACCUUCCCAGGGAGAAGAGCUCCCUCUCUUCCCUCCUUAUGGCCCCUUGCCCUUCCAACCCCCUGAAUGUGACCCCAGAAGCUCCAAGGGAUUACCAGAGGCGGGGUCUGUAGGUCCUUGGGGAAACCGAGCCCUGCCCUCGGGCUGAUGGCGUGUGACCACUGACCACUGCGCAUCCAGAUUAACUGUCCUCAGCCAGACACAUAUCCCAGCCAACCACGGCAGGUCAGAGGACGGACGAAGCCACCAGAGCAAGGGUGGCUGUCUCCCACACCCCAGGCAGUGGCUGGGAGGCGGGCACAGAGCCUGGGUUGGGGCUGUGAGGGGGCACAGCUCCCAGGGUGGGGGCCUUGGCGGUAGGGAGUGCCUAGUCCCAGGCUGGGUUGUGACCCAAACUCCUCUGGGCCCAGCCUUCACUCCCAGGCCCUGCCCUGCCCUGCCCAUGAGGAGUCCGAGGAGCGAGAAGGCUGGGGCUGGGGCCUCAGGGUUGUGGGCACCCAGGCCCAGGAGCCUCCCAAGGACAAGGAGCCCCUGCUGUCAUCCCCUGGGAUGCAGGAGAAGGCCCGGCCCUCCUGUUUCUGGUUCUCUCCAGGGUCUCCUGGUGGUUCUAAGGAAGAGCAGCUGGGUCCUAGGGGACCACCUAUGCUGGAGUUUCCAUGUCCAGCCCUGAUCCUUUUAAGAAAACCAAAACAGCACUUUGGGAGGCGGGGGUAGGUGGAUCACUAGGUCAGGAGUUUGAGACCAGCCUGGCCAACAUAGUGAAAUCCCAUCUCUACUAAAAAAAAAAAAAAAAAAAAAAUUAGCCAGGUAUGGUGGCGCAUGUCUGUAAUCUCAGCUACUCUGGAGGCCAAGGCAGGAGAAUCGCUUGAAUCUGGGAGGCGGAGGUUGCAGUAAGUAAGAUCGCACCACGACAGAGCAAGCCUCUGUCUCAGGGGAAAAAAAGAAAGACAAGAAAACCAAAACAGACAGUUUCCAAAACCCAACCCCACAGGCCAAGUACUGGAUUUCUCACAUUUCUGAAGGUGGUGCCUGCCCGAACCACCUCUGUGGGGAGCAACCUUCAGGGGCCUGAUCCAGCCAGGGCACCCCCUUAUGCCAUGGCACCCCCCCAUGCCACGGCACCCCUUUAUGCUGAGGCACUCCCCUAUGCCGGGGCACUUUCCCUAUGCCAUGGCACUCCCCCAUGCCCUAUGCCAGGGCACCCCCCCAUGCCACGGCACUCCCCCUAUGCCAGGGCACUCCCCCUAUGCCACGGCACUCCCCCUAUGCCACGGCACUCCCCCCUGCCACGGCACUCCCCUAUGCCAGAGCACUCCCCCUAUGCCAAGACACUCCUCUAUGCCAGGGUACUCCCCUAUGCCGGGGCACCCCCCAUGCCACAGCACUCCCCCUAUGCCAGGGCACUCCCCCAUGUCAGGGCACUCCCUCUAUGCCAGGGCACUCCCCCAUGCCAUGACACACCCCUAUGCCACGGCACUCCCCCAUGCCAGGACACUCCCCCUAUGCCACCGCACUCCCCUUAUGCCAGGAUACUCCCCUAUGCUGGGGCACUCCCCUAUGCCGGGGCACUCACCCUAUGUACAGACGGACACCAGGGAGCCAGGGCCACCAGGACCUCUCAGACCAGCAGCAACUAACUGGCAGUUCCAUCUACAG
ensembl:lncRNA